rnacentral:lncRNA from 10 species
GCUGUGCCAAGUUUCCGGAGGCUGUCCUGGUAUAGAUGUCAGCAAGCUCAGGCUUCUGCAGGCAAAGAGAUCUCAUCUUACCUUGUCUGAAUCCAUUAAUAAUGUCCCAGUCCCACUUAGCCCUCCCAGUGGCCUGAGGUGCAGUUCUGUGAGAAUAACCACUUGGUUUUAGUGGCUAUGAAGGGUUUGCAAUCACAUGGGUGAGCUGGCAUUUCAGAGCAUGAAAGAAAAUGAAACCAGCUCAAUCUCCCCAUAGAGACAAUAUUUAUAAGUUUUUUAAUAAAAGAAGAAAUCAACCCUCCUGGUCUUAAAAUUUGAAAUUUACAUUUGUCUCAUCUGAGUUCCUUCCCCAGGAAACCCACCCUCAGGCACGGAACUGAAACUCACCAGAUCACCGCAUCCAGAGGAUGAGAUCCCAGACCCCUCACUCAGCAGCAUUGCUUCCCUACUGCUUCCUAACUUCUUCCUGCAGCAAUCCAUUUGAAAGGAAAGAAGUGUCACAGCCCCUGAUUUACCAGCGAACAAAAAACACUUGUUAAUAAAUCUUCUGCACAAAGA